rnacentral:piRNA from 1 species
UUGGAAUCGUCACUUUCUGCU